AUUGAACGCUGGCGGCAGGCCUAACACAUGCAAGUCGAGCGGAUGAAGGGAGCUUGCUCCUGGAUUCAGUGGCGGACGGGUGAGUAAUGCCUAGGAAUCUGCCUGGUCGUGGGGGAUAACGUCCGGAAACGGGAGCUAAUACCGCAUACGUCCUGAGGGAGAAAGUCGGGGAUCUUCGGAGAUCACGCUAUUAGAUGAGCCUAGGUCGGAUUCGCCAGUUGGUGGGGUAAAGGCCUACCAAGGCGACGAUCCGUACCUGGUCCGAUAGGAGGAUCAGUCACACGGGAACUGAGACACGGUCCAGACUCCUACGGGGGGCGGCGGUGGGGAAUAUUGGACAUUGAGGAAAGGCCUAAUCAGGCCAGGCCGCGUAGGUAAGAAAGGUCUUCGGAUUGAAAAGCACUUUAAGUUGGGAGAAAGGGCAGUAAGUUAAUACCUUGCUGUUUUGACGGUACUAACAGAGAAAGCACCGGCCAACUUCGUG
rnacentral:rRNA from 1 species